UACGGAGGGGCAAGCGUUGUUCAGAAUUACUGGGCGUAAAGGGCGCGCAGGCGGCUGCUCAAGUCAGGCGUGAAAGGCCUGGGCUCAACCCGGGAAUUGCGCUUGAGACUGGGCUGGCUUGAGUGCGGGAGAGGAUGGUGGAAUUCCCGAGUGUAGAGGUGAAAUUCGUAGAUAUUGGGAAGAACACCGGUGGCGAAGGCGGCCAUCUGGACCGCAACUGACGCUGAGGCGCGAAAGCGUGGGGAGCAAACA
rnacentral:rRNA from 1 species